UACGGGGGGGGUAAGCGUUGUUCGGAAUUACUGGGCGUAAAGGGCGCGUAGGCGGGUCGGUAAGUCAGGGGUGAAAUCCCACGGCCCAACCGUGGAAGUGCCUCUGAUACUGCCGGCCUCGAGGGGGAUAGGGGCGUGCGGAACUCAGGGUGGAGCGGUGAAAUGCGUAGAUAUCCUGAGGAACACCGGUGGCGAAAGCGGCGCGCUGGAUCCCUUCUGACGCUGAGGCGCGAAAGCCAGGGGAGCAAACGGG
rnacentral:rRNA from 1 species